rnacentral:ribozyme from 1 species
GGCCUACUAUGUAAUUCACCUUUUCGUGGUGUAGGCUAUAAGUACCUAAUUUAGGGAAACUAGGAAAUUG